rnacentral:pre_miRNA from 1 species
AGUGGGAUAGUUGGGUCAAAUGGUGGUUCCAUUGCAAGUUUUCUGAGGAAUCUCCAUACUGCUUUCCAGAGUGGUGGACCAAUUUUCAGUCCCACCAACAAU